rnacentral:rRNA from 1 species
AGCUUGCUAGAUUGAUGGCGAGUGGCGAACGGGUGAGUAAUACAUCGGAACGUGCCCUGUAGUGGGGGAUAACUAGUCGAAAGAUUAGCUAAUACCGCAUACGACCUGAGGGUGAAAGUGGGGGACCGCAAGGCCUCAUGCUAUAGGAGCGGCCGAUGUCUGAUUAGCUAGUUGGUGGGGUAAAGGCCCACCAAGGCGACGAUCAGUAGCUGGUCUGAGAGGACGAUCAGCCACACUGGGACUGAGACACGGCCCAGACUCCUACGGGAGGCAGCAGUGGGGAAUUUUGGACAAUGGGCGAAAGCCUGAUCCAGCAAUGCCGCGUGUGUGAAGAAGGCCUUCGGGUUGUAAAGCACUUUUGUCCGGAAAGAAAUGGCUCUGGUUAAUACCUGGGGUCGAUGACGGUACCGGAAGAAUAAGGACCGGCUAACUACGUGCCAGCAGCCGCGGUAAUACGUAGGGUCCAAGCGUUAAUCGGAAUUACUGGGCGUAAAGCGUGCGCAGGCGGUUGUGCAAGACCGAUGUGAAAUCCCCGAGCUUAACUUGGGAAUUGCAUUGGUGACUGCACGGCUAGAGUGUGUCAGAGGGGGGUAGAAUUCCACGUGUAGCAGUGAAAUGCGUAGAGAUGUGGAGGAAUACCGAUGGCGAAGGCAGCCCCCUGGGAUAACACUGACGCUCAUGCACGAAAGCGUGGGGAGCAAACAGGAUUAGAUACCCUGGUAGUCCACGCCCUAAACGACGUCAACUAGUUGUUGGGGAUUCAUUUCCUUAGUAACGUAGCUAACGCGUGAAGUUGACCGCCUGGGGAGUACGGUCGCAAGAUUAAAACUCAAAGGAAUUGACGGGGACCCGCACAAGCGGUGGAUGAUGUGGAUUAAUUCGAUGCAACGCGAAAAACCUUACCUACCCUUGACAUGCCACUAACGAAGCAGAGAUGCAUUAGGUGCUCGAAAGAGAAAGUGGACACAGGUGCUGCAUGGCUGUCGUCAGCUCGUGUCGUGAGAUGUUGGGUUAAGUCCCGCAACGAGCGCAACCCUUGUCUCUAGUUGCUACGAAAGGGCACUCUAGAGAGACUGCCGGUGACAAACCGGAGGAAGGUGGGGAUGACGUCAAGUCCUCAUGGCCCUUAUGGGUAGGGCUUCACACGUCAUACAAUGGUGCAUACAGAGGGUUGCCAAGCCGCGAGGUGGAGCUAAUCCCAGAAAAUGCAUCGUAGUCCGGAUCGUAGUCUGCAACUCGACUACGUGAAGCUGGAAUCGCUAGUAAUCGCGGAUCAGCAUUCCGCGGUGAAUACGUUCCCGGGUCUUGUACACACCGCCCGUCACACCAUGGGAGUGGGCUU